rnacentral:SRP_RNA from 1 species
GCCGGGUGCAGUGGCAUGUGCCUGUAAUCCAAGUCACUGGGAGGCUGAGGUUGGUGGAUCAAGUGAGCUGAGGAGCUCUGGGCUGCAGCACGCUAUGUCGAACGGGUGUCCACGCUAAGUUCGGUAUCGAUAUGGUGUUCCUGGGGGAGCCUGGGACCACCAGGUUGUCUAAGGAGGGUUGAACCGGCCCAGGUCGGAAACGAAGCAGGUCAAAUCCCCCGUGCUGUCCAGUAGUGGGAUAAUACCUGUGAGUAGAUGCUGCAGUGCAGCCUUGGCAAAACAUCGAGACCUAAUCUUUU